AUAGGUAACAGUAAAAAACAGUGUAAAAUAUAAAUGCAUAUCAGAAUACAGAAGAUAUAAGUAAAUUAAAUAUGUUCCUAUCUGCUGGGUGGGAAGGUGAGUAAAACCUUUACUCAUGUGAUACAAAGUUUUAUUUUGUGUGUCUUUCAUCCUAGAAUAUAUGGGAAUGUAAUUUAAGGUAUCAACAUGGAUAGUUUGUAUCCUUUGGUGGAAGACUCUUCCUAUCCUUUUUUCAUCCAUGAGCUACAUGCAUGAUUGACAAGAUUGUUCAUUCUGCAAAGAAUCUUUGGAGAAAUGGCACAAAAUCAGUUGUGUUGAUAUGAAACACAUGUAUUCCAGAUGCAGAGGUCUCCCAGUGGAAGACUAAUGUUCACAAUUCAACAAGGUUGUUGAUCACCAGUGAGAAGAGCCAGUGGAAUAAUUAAAGCAUAGGAAAAAAUGUUAUUAAAGAGGAAGAGUUCCAGGAGCUCAGUCUACUUAAUCUAUCAAAUUUAAGAAAAAAGUAAAUAGUGCUGAUGCAGAGGAAGGUUGUGCAAGACUCCGGCUUGAAAAGAAAGUACACUUGAAAUGGUACAUAUUAUUAAGGAAACCCUUGUAUCUGGAAAAAGUAAUUUCAAAAGCUAUGUUAUGGAGUUGCCCUUAAAACAGUAGUUACAUGUACUAAAUGCUGAGGUUCGUGGAAAUGGGCUGGCCAGAUGCAAUCUCACAGAUUUAGCACAGCCCAGCAUCUGCUGUGUUGGCCUGGCCACGUGGAUACCAAGAUCAGUGCAGAUACUUGAUGACCACAGCAAGAUUAUCUGUUACAAGGCUUGAUUUUCCCAAGAGUCAUGUGAAAACACCUGUAAUUUUUAAUUGAUUUAAUUAAUGAGUAAACUGGAUGAAGCUGAAUGUAAGUUUGUGUUUGGAAGAGGAGAUGAAGUGGUGAAGCAAGAGAACCAAUAGUUUUCUCUACUGGGAGAAGGGAAGAGCCUGUUUUCUGCUACAAAGCUCGUGUUUGAGGAGAACAGAGGACACAAGUAGUUUUUACCUGAAAAUGUGCUUGUAUGUUUUCACUGUAUAGCUUUGAUCUGAAAUAACUGGGACAGAGGAGAGUUUUUAGCAGUUCCUUUCUUACAUGGUAAAUGGCAUUUCUUUACAGAUAUCACAUUCAUAGAUAUAUUAAGAAACCACUUUU